GGUGGAUUGGCGUAAUGGCAACGCGUCAGUUUCCGGUCGCUCGCCUGGUAGCUGAAGAUUGCGAGUUCGAAUCUCGCAUUCAUCG